UCACCAUUAAGAUUAGAGAUAAAAAUCAUACGGCUCUUUUGCACUCACCAUAUGCCAAAUUAUAGGCACAAAUUGUAUUACAACACCUAAUGAUUAGAAAUCCAAACUUUGAAUCCAUUUCUGCUACUCUGAUCGUGCAUGUCCCCAAUGAUUACAAUCUUAAGUUCAAAUACUACUUAAGUCAUAGCUGUUGAAAAAUAUGUCUCAAAGCC
rnacentral:lncRNA from 1 species